rnacentral:rRNA from 1 species
AACGAACGCUGGCGGCAUGCCUAACACAUGCAAGUCGAACGAGACCUUCGGGUCUUGUGGCGCACGGGUGCGUAACGCGUGGGAACCUGCCCUUAGGUUCGGCAUACCUCCCCGAAAGGGGUGCUAAUACCGGACAAUGUCUUCGGACCAAAGAUUUAUCGACCUUGGAUGGGCCCGCGUUGGAUUAGCUUGUUGGUAGGGUAAAAGCAUAUCAAGGCGACGAUCCAUAGCUGGUCAGAGAGGAUGGUCAGCUACACUGGGAGUGAGACCCGGCCCAGACUCCUACGGGAGGCAGCAGUGGGGAAUGUAGGACAAUGGGCGAAGGCCUGAUCGAGCAAUGACGCGUGAGUGAUGAAGGCAGUAGGGUUGUAAAGCGCUUUUACCCGGGAUGAUAAUGACGGUACCGGGAGAAUAAGCCCCGGCUAACUCCGUG